ensembl:lncRNA
CGAUCAUGGAGCAAACAGAAGUUCUCAAUUUGUCCGCUUCAGACACUCUUUUGGGCAGCAAGCGUUUGAAGUGUAAGAAGGCACUCAGUAGAAGAAAGGAUACUCUGGCAGACAAUCCUGUAAUUAUUGGAGGCUGCACAGAAGUAGCAGCCCGACACUUUUGUCUCCCUCCAGCAUCUCCGUCUAUCUAUGUCUCCGUCCCCACAACUCGGUCCACUGUUGGACCCGUUGGGGGCCAGCUAUUCAGAGGCCGGGACGAACAUCCUCCGGUACCGGGUCUAGCAGAGGCUGGCUAUACAAUGGCUCCCCCUUCCAUGUAUUCAAUAGCCUUCCUGACCUCCA